rnacentral:lncRNA from 1 species
GGUCUCGGAGACCGUCGUGGGUCUCGCGGCGCAAGACAUUUAGCCGCACCUCCCUCCCUGAUCUCAGCAUGGAGGGAAAGUCUGAAGACUGUAAGGUUCCAGAAGAUCUGUUCAAUGGUCUGAAAGUCACAGAUUCUCAAGAAACAGAGUCUGCUAGCUCCCUGGUUUCUGAUCCGAAAGAUCAGCAUGUCCAGAGCAAGCCACUGAAGGAUGCUGAAGCCCAUCCCCAGGAAGACCAUGGAGAAGAGGAAUGUUUUCAUGACUGUAGUGCCUCCUUUGAGGAGGAACAGCCAGGGGCACAUAUGGCCGGGGACAAAGCCAGCGACGAGUCUAGUUCUGAACUGGAGGAAGAAUACCUAAUUGAACUGGAAAAAAACAUGCCAGAAGAAGAGAAACAGAUUAUGUGGAAGCUGAGAGUUCUUACAGUCAAGCCCUUCAGAUGUGCCCGGCCUGUUUCCAGAAAGAUCGAUCUGUUCUGUUUUCAAAUAGAGCUGCUGCAAGGAUGAAACAG